rnacentral:rRNA from 1 species
ACAUCCAGAGAAUUUAGCAGAGAUGCUUUAGUGCCUUCGGGAACUCUGAGACAGGUGCUGCAUGGCUGUCGUCAGCUCGUGUUGUGAAAUGUUGGGUUAAGUCCCGNAACGAGCGCAACCCUUAUCCUUUGUUGCCAGCACGUAAUGGUGGGAACUCAAAGGAGACUGCCGGUGAUAAACCGGAGGAAGGUGGGGAUGACGUCAAGUCAUCAUGGCCCUUACGAGUAGGGCUACACACGUGCUACAAUGGCGCAUACAAAGAGAAGCGACCUCGCGAGAGCAAGCGGACCUCAUAAAGUGCGUCGUAGUCCGGAUUGGAGUCUGCAACUCGACUCCAUGAAGUCGGAAUCGCUAGUAAUCGUAAAUCAGAAUGUUACGGUGAAUACGUUCCCGGGCCUUGUACACACCGCCCGUCACACCAUGGGAGUGGGUUGCAAAAGAAGUAGAUAGCUUAACCUUCGGGAGGGCGUUUACCACUUUGUGAUUCAUGACUGGGGCGAAGUCGUAACAAGGUAGGCGUAGUGCU